GGACGAACGCUGGCGGCGUGCUUAACACAUGCAAGUCGACCGGAAAGGCCCUGCUUUUGUGGGGUGCUCGAGUGGCGAACGGGUGAGUAACACGUGAGUAACCUGCCCUUGACUUUGGGAUAACUUCAGGAAACUGGGGCUAAUACCGGAUAGGAGCUCCUGCUGCAUGGUGGGGGUUGGAAAGUUUCGGCGGUUGGGGAUGGACUCGCGGCUUAUCAGCUUGUUGGUGGGGUAGUGGCUUACCAAGGCUUUGACGGGUAGCCGGCCUGAGAGGGUGACCGGCCACAUUGGGACUGAGAUACGGCCCAGACUCCUACGGGAGGCAGCAGUGGGGAAUAUUGCACAAUGGGCGGAAGCCUGAUGCAGCAACGCCGCGUGCGGGAUGACGGCCUUCGGGUUGUAAACCGCUUUCGCCUGUGACGAAGCGUGAGUGACGGUAAUGGGUAAAGAAGCACCGGCUAACUACGUG
rnacentral:rRNA from 1 species